AUGUCGAGGACAUUUCAGUUGCUGCUAGUUCUUGCACUAGUAGGAAUAGUUAGAGUGAGUGGUUCCCGCGCUCAUAAGAACGUCACCCACGGCCCGCACAGCUGCGGCGGCGUGGAUGUCCCCUACCCGUUCGCCAUCGUGGAGGAUGGCGGCGGUGGCGACUACCGCGCUGGGUCCCAUGUCAUGUGUGACGCCGGUGAGCCGGUACUGCACACCACCGGCGGCGACGGAAAGCCCGUUAAGAUCGGCAACUUCUCCAUGAAGGCGGCUGAGGCCCGCGUGUGGCUGCCUGUAGCGUGGCAGUGCUACGACUCCUCCGGCAAAGCGAAUGGGUCAGACUACAGGAACCUAGAGUUCAACGAGGAGGGCGUGUACCGCAUCUCCCACGCCAGGAACAACCCUCUUUGUCCUGGGCUGCGAAACCACGGGCUACCUCGGGAGCCAGCCGGACCAGGGCUCCGGCGAAAGCAGGUCAUACGCCCAGUUCACCGUCUGCCUCUCCUACUGCAACAACUCCGAGAGCGCGGCGAGCGGUGCCUGCUCCGGGGUAGACUGCUGCCACGUAGAAAUUCCGCCGGACCUCCAUGGCAACUGGGUGGCCUUCGUUAGCUACGACAACACCAUUAAGUUGGAAAAAAAUUAUAUGAGACCAGGUCUCACGGUUAGCAGAUGAGGAAUAGGGUAGAUGCUUUGUGAUUUGUAAAUGGCACGUGUCAUUCAUCAGGAUGGGUCUCACCCAGUAAGUUCAACUUCAGCCCCUGCGAGUAUGCGUUUGCGGCGGAGAAGCAUUACAGCUUCAACACCACCGACCUCAAGAGGGCACUGCGCGGGACCACCUGGGAGAUGCCGGUGGUCCUCGACUGGGCCAUCCGCGACAGCCCCACCUGCAAGGAGGCCAGGAAGAAGAAGGAAGGGUACGCCUGCAAAAGCUCCAACAGCCGCUGCCUCGAUUCUACCAACGGACCUGGGUACAUCUGCAACUGCCGCCGGGGCUACGAGGGCAACCCCUAUAAUGAGCGUGGUUGUAUCGAUAUAAAUGAGUGUGAGCAUCUUGACCACUAUCCUUGCAAGGGAGACUGCGAGAACAAAGAAGGUUCUUACGAAUGCACAUGCCCCAAGCACACAAAUAGUCCUAAUCCCUUCAAAGAACGUUGCAGCCAAAAUUUACCACUCGGAGCAAAGAUCAUCGUAGGUGCCAUAGGGGGUCUUUUCAUCAUAGCUAUUAUGGUGUUCUUGUGGCUUCUUCACAAAGAGAAAAGAAGGAUGAGAGACAAUUUUGAAAAGAAUGGGGGACCUAUAUUGGAAAAGAUCAAUAAUAUAAAGCUAUUCAAUAAGGAAGAUAUAAGGAAAAUUCUGAAAAAUAAGAAAAUUCUUGGAAAUGGUCGCUUUGGUACGGUUUCCAUGGGGCACACUGAGGAUAAACAAGUGGUCGCUGUGAAAGAACCCAUCAAUCGCAAAUCAACGAAUGACCAGUUUGUAAAUGAGAUCAUCAUUCAGUCUAGAGUCAUUCACAAAAACAUUGUCAAGCUCAUAGGUUGUUGCCUACAAUUUAAAGUGCCAACUUUGAUCUAUGAAUUUGUGCCCAAGGGCAGCCUCGACGAUAUUCUUCAUGGCAAGAACCAUAUGCCUCUAAAGUUGGGUCUACGUCUACAAAUUGCUGCAGAAUCAGCAGAAGGUCUAGCUUAUAUGCAUUCAAAAACAACUACAACAAUCCUCCAUGGUGAUGUUGAACCAGCUAAUAUACUUUUGAAUGAAAAGUUUAUGCCGAAGAUCUCAGACUUUGGCAUAUCAAGGUUAAUGGUCACUGAUAUGCAACACACUGGAUAUAUCAUUUUUGACAGGGCUUAUGUUGAUCCAGUAUAUAGGCAAACUGAACAAUUGACCACCAAGAGUGAUAUCUAUUUUGGAGUUGUGCUCUUGGAGCUCAUUACAAGAAAGAAAGCCUCUCACUCUGACAACAAUUUACUCGGGAACUUUCUUGAUACCUACACAAAGGACAAGUCUGUGACCGAGCUCCUGGAUAAGGAACUUCGAGAGGAUGAUCAAGAAAUUCUUGGUCAUUUAGUAGGGAUGAUUAUGCAAUGUAUAAAUCUUGACGUCAAUCAGAGACCAGAGAUGACCGAUGUCGCUGAGCGUCUUCAUGAUAUGGUGAAGAGGUUAAAUAAUAAAUAG
rnacentral:rRNA from 1 species